CGCCAGACUCCUACGGGAGGCAGCAGUGGGGAAUAUUGCACAAUGGGGGGAACCCUGAUGCAGCGACGCCGCGUGGGCGAGGAAGUAUUUCGGUAUGUAAAGCCCUAUCGGCAGGGAAGAAGAAAUGACGGUACCUGAAUAAGAAGCACCGGCUAAAUACGUGCCAGCAGCCGCGGUAAUACGUAUGGUGCAAGCGUUAUCCGGAUUUACUGGGCGUAAAGGGAGCGUAGACGGCAUGGCAAGUCAGAUGUGAAAGCCCGGGGCUCAACCCCGGGACUGCAUUUGAAACUGUCAGGCUGGAGUGCAGGAGAGGUAAGUGGAAUUCCUAGUGUAGCGGUGAAAUGCGUAGAUAUUAGGAGGAACACCAGUGGCGAAGGCGGCUUACUGGACUGUAACUGACGUUGAGGCUCGAAAGCGUGGGGAGCAAACAGGAUUAGAUACCCGCGUAC
rnacentral:rRNA from 1 species